AAUCGUUACAAGCAAUACAAAAGUCCAUCACUUUUACUCACAUUUUAGUUAUAUAAUAUUAGUAACAAUAAGCAUCUGUACAAGGCUAGUAUCAGGGGUCUGAACAACAGCGUCUACAUUACUUUAAUACUUCAAUUCCUUUGUAUAGCCUCGCCCAGUAGGGCCCCUGUUUGUGACCGUACAGUGGAUUAAUCUCAUUGCCUAUUUUGAAUAAUUAUAUACUACACUGGAAUUAGAGCCCUUGCUCCUGUCUACAGGAUUAAUUAUAAGAGCCUUUGAAUUCUUAAGUAGAUUAAAGCCUUCGCCCUCCACCAUGGGUUGGGAUCUCUAUUAUUAAGCAAAUACUUUCACAAGUGGGUUAAGUGGGUUACUUUUUGUUAUUAGGAAAUUCCUUUAAUUGUUAUGCUCCUUCACUAUAUCCCCGGGUUCCUUGGCCGCAUGUGGACUUUCAGACUGGGCGUUGGCCGUGCAUGUUGUUUGUAAGUUUAUGUAGUCGCGUAGAUAGGCCUGCACUGCUGUGGCUGAAUCUGUUAAUAUAGUGGCUAGAGACCCUGUACCUCUGACUGUCAGCUCCACCGUGACACCAGGCUUCUGUUCCGGUGGGCAGGAGGUCCCGCACAACUCCUGGCAGGAAGGGCAGAUGAUGGUCCCCGUGUGGAGGUACGCACUGGUUGUCACGCUGAUCUCAAUCUGCUGACCCUUCCAGGAGCACAGGUGGUUGACUCCUUCCACAGUGAUCUUCAGUCCGUCGCUGCCACAGGAAUACUGAUCAGAAAGGGCAUCAGGACGAAAGACUGGAGCAAGUCUAGCCUCACCUGUUUAACCUGAUGGGACCUGUUGAAGUUGACCUGACAUUCAGCAUACGGG